rnacentral:rRNA from 1 species
UGGUUGGAAAUCAGUCGCAGAGGGUAAAGGUAUAAGGGAGCUUGACUGCGAGACAGACAAGUCGAGCAGGGACGAAAGUCGGGCUUAGUGAUCCGGUGGUACCGUAUGGAAGGGCCAUCGCCCAACGGAUAAAAGCUACCCUGGGGAUAACAGGCUUAUCUCCCCCAAGAGUUCACAUCGACGGGGAGGUUUGGCACCUCGAUGUCGGCUCGUCGCAUCCUGGGGCUGUCGUCGGUCCCAAGGGUUGGGCUGUUCGCCCAUUAAAGCGGCACGCGAGCUGGGUUCAGA